rnacentral:rRNA from 1 species
AAACUUUCAACAACGGAUCUCUUGGUUCUGGCAUCGAUGAAGAACGCAGCGAAAUGCGAUAAGUAAUGUGAAUUGCAGAAUUCAGUGAAUCAUCGAAUCUUUGAACGCACAUUGCGCCCUCUGGUAUUCCGGGGGGCAUGCCCG